UACAGAGGUCUCAAGCGUUGUUCGGAUUCAUUGGGCGUAAAGGGUGCGUAGGUGGCGCGGUAAGUCGGGUGUGAAAUUUCGGAGCUUAACUCCGAAACUGCAUUCGAUACUGCCGUGCUUGAGGACUGGAGAGGAGACUGGAAUUUACGGUGUAGCAGUGAAAUGCGUAGAGAUCGUAAGGAAGACCAGUGGCGAAGGCGGGUCUCUGGACAGUUCCUGGACGCUGAAGCACGAAGGCCAGGGGAGCAAACGGG
rnacentral:rRNA from 1 species